CACAGAGUCGGACACGACUGAAAUGACUUAGCAGCUUAGCAGCAACAGCAGGGAUUAUUACAUAGGAAUGGGAAAUAAAAGAGGAAGUGGAAAGAGAUUGCUAUGCAUUAUUUAGGAAAAUGUAGAAUCUCCACCCAGUCCUUCACACACACACACACACACACACACACACACACACACAAAACUCCUCAUUCAACAUUCUUGGACUAGAUAAGUUAGCAGCAUUAUCUCAUCUGGAGAAGUGCUAAAAAAGUAAAGAAGGGUAAGUUUGGAAGAGUAUCUCUUCUUUUUUGAGUUGAGGUAGCAAUGCGAGGAGAGGAAAAGAGAGGCUUUUCUUAUAGUUUUAUUUUACGUGAGCAUACAUUCCUUCUAGGCAACCUUGAGUGAUGUGUCACAGAAUCAUGAUAUUCUCUAAGAUACAGUUUUUAAAAUGCUUUUAUAUGAUAUAACCAUAAAAAAUAGGGAAUUGGUUUAAUGUGUUUGGGUUAUUUAGCUUAAUUUCCAGAUAGAUUAUUGACAGGAAUAAACAUGGACUAAAAUAUAUCAAACAGGAGAUGAUUAAAACAAUUAUCCUGAUAAAUGUAUAUUAAACUAAACUUUUCUAUUGAGGGGAAAAACAUUUUAUUGAAACAAUUUAGUUAACUUAAUUACUUUAUGAUAAAGAUUAAAAACAAGUAACUAAAAAAUACCUUAUAGUAAAAUUUUUAAAACUCUUGUUUUGUUACUAGGGUUUUUUUCCAUGUAACAUCAGCAGGAAUGCAGUAUACAGUUGCAAGAAUGGUGGUCAUCGUGAAAUGGACAUAUACAUGCAGACAAAAUGUCAAGAGUGCAGACUAAAAAGUGUAAGGCAGUAAGAAUGUAAGGAGAAUGUUUGCUCACAGAAAUCCAAUGCAAAUCAAAUGGACUUCGAAAGAACUUUAAGCAGAAGAAUAGCUUCGGCUCUAACAUCAAAACAGAAGAGAAAGGGAUUCAGGAGGACAUGGAACUAACUCAAGAGGAACAUCAGCUCAUUAACACAUUGUGGCUGCUCAUCAAAAAUAUACAAUUCUUUUAGAAGCAACAGAAAGAUUUGUAUGUGUUCAUUAAUGGCAAGAAAUAAUUUGUAAUUAAUUAUGUUAGAAAAUAACAGCAUAAUCAUAAAAGUUUAAAAUUUAAAGUUAUUUGAAAGAAAGAAAUUAUAAAUUGUAUUUCUUUUUUUGUUGGUUAGCUGCAGGGAUAUGGAAAUCCUGAACUGAUCUUUCUGCAACUCUCAUAGAUAGUCUUACAUAUACAGAGCUUAGUGGAUUUCACCAAGGGACUUCCAGGUAUCACACUGCCUUUGGAAAAAAUUAAAGUAAUUUAAUAUGUAAUUUUUUAAAAGUUCCUUGUUUUAAAGGAAGGUGACAUUUUAAGAAGACAAAACCUUCUAGUUCUCUACCAAAACUGCCUCUAAAUUCAAAAACAUAUUGACUUUGUUUGCUUUAAUCAAUCAGGCGGAUGAAAAUAUAAAUAUUUAAAAAUAUUAUUCAAGUGACUUCAAAGACUUAGAGUUAAGACAAACUGUGAUUGGUUGUAUGUUUUAUUUUAUUUUUG